CCUACGGGAGGCAGCAGUGAGGAAUAUUGGUCAAUGGACGAAACUCUGAACCAGCCAUGUCGCGUGAAGGAUGACUGCCCUAUGUGUUGUAAACUUCUUUUAUAUGGGAAUAAAAUGUUCCACGUGUAGAAUUUUGUCUGUACCAUAUGGAUAAGGCACGCCUAACUCCGUGCCAGCAGCCGCGGUAAUACGGAGGAUCCGAGCGUUAUCCGGAUUUAUUGGGUUUAAAGGGUGCGUAGGUGGAUUGUUAAGUCAGUUGUGAAAGCUUGCGGCCCAACCGUAAAAUGGCAGUUGAAACUGGCAGUCUGGAGUACAGUAGAGGUGGGCGGAAUGCGUGGUGUAGCGGUGAAAUGCUUAGAUAUCACGAAGAACACCGAUUGCGAAGGCAGCUUACUGGACUGCAACUGACGCUGAGGCUCGAAAGUGUGGGGAGCAAACAGGAUUAGAUACCCGGGUAGUC
rnacentral:rRNA from 1 species